rfam:TPA: Bos taurus chromosome 23, whole genome shotgun sequence.
GCAAAGGCUCUUUUCAGAGCCACCCACGUUUUCAAGUAAAACGGCU